GGAAGGUGGGGAUGACGUCAAAUCAUCAUGCCCCUUAUGUCCUGGGCUACACACGUGCUACAAUGGCUGGUACAAAGAGUUGCAAUCCUGUGAAGGGGAGCUAAUCUCAAAAAACCAGUCUCAGUUCGGAUUGAAGUCUGCAACUCGACUUCAUGAAGCCGGAAUCACUAGUAAUCGCGAAUCAGCUAUGUCGCGGUGAAUACGUUCUCGGGUCUUGUACACACCGCCCGUCACACCAUGAGAGUUGGUAAUACCAGAAGUAGGUAGCUUAACCGUUUGGAGAGCGCUUCCCAAGGUAGGACUAGCGAUUGGGGUGAAGUCGUAACAAGGUAUCCGUACGGGAACGUGCGGAUGGAUCACCUCCUUU
rnacentral:rRNA from 1 species